ACAAACCAGGCUCAGUUCUGGGAGUGGAUAAAGGAGCCAUUUUCUUGCUUUUCCUUAGGCCCCUACCUCAGCCACUUUGAGAAAACGUCCUGAAUAAAACUCAGGCACAGACCAUAUUUUAAAAAGUGGUUCCCUAGUCCUUGAACCCCAUCUGAUGCUCCAAGUGUGACAAUCCAGGACUGCUGGCAAGGCAGGAGGAGGGAUGGAGCUUUGUUGGACACAUCAGAAUGCAGGGCUAAGCAUUCCCAGUGUCUUCAGUGAUCCUCAGCAGCAUGGACUCAAGGCCCUCCACCAUUCAUCAUGAGUUGGCUGCCUGCUCUUGCUGCGGCGGCGGCUCAUCCUUCACUUUUAUUUCCCGUGAUCCGAG
rnacentral:lncRNA from 1 species